GUGAGGAAUUUUGCGCAAUGGGGGCAACCCUGACGCAGCGACGCCGCGUGGAGGACGAAGUCUUUCGGGAUGUAAACUCCUGUCAGUGGGGACGAUAAUGACGGUACCCACAGAGGAAGCACCGGCUAACUCCGUGCCAGCAGCCGCGGUAAGACGGAGGGUGCAAGCGUUGUUCGGAAUUACUGGGCGUAAAGCGUACGUAGGCGGCAAGUUAAGUUCAAUGUUAAAGCCCACGGCUCAACCGAGGAGAUGCAUUGAAUACUGGCUAGCUAGAGGUUGUUAGAGGAAGACGGAAUUCCCAGUGUAGCGGUGGACUGCGUAGAUAUUGGGAGGAACAUCGGUAGCGAAAGCGGUCUUCUGGGACACACCUGACGCUGAGGUACGAAAGCGUGGGGAGCAAACGGGAUUAGAAACCCCGGUAGUCC
rnacentral:rRNA from 1 species